UGAAACUUGCAAGGAACAGG
rnacentral:miRNA from 1 species